GCCAGUCUGCAUGGAGCCGACCUUGAAAUACCACCCUUUAAUGUUUGAUGUUCUAACGUGGACCCGUGAUCCGGGUUGCGGACAGUGUCUGGUGGGUAGUUUGACUGGGGCGGUCUCCUCCUAAAGAGUAACGGAGGAGCACGAAGGUUGGCUAAUCCUGGUCGGACAUCAGGAGGUUAGUGCAAUGGCAUAAGCCAGCUUGACUGCGAGCGUGACGGCGCGAGCAGGUGCGAAAGCAGGUCAUAGUGAUCCGGUGGUUCUGAAUGGAAGGGCCAUCGCUCAACGGAUAAAAGGUACUCCGGGGAUAACAGGCUGAUACCGCCCAAGAGUUCAUAUCGACGGCGGUGUUUGGCACCUCGAUGUCGGCUCAUCACAUCCUGGGGCUGAAGUAGGUCCCAAGGGUAUGGCUGUUCGCCAUUUAAAGUGGUACGCGAGCUGGGUUUAGAACGUCGUGAGACAGUUCGGUCCCUAUCUGCCGUGGGCGCUGGAGAACUGAGGGGGGCUGCUCCUAGUACGAGAGGACCGGAGUGGACGCAUCACUGGUGUUCGGGUUGUCAUGCCAAUGGCACUGCCCGGUAGCUAAAUGCGGAAGAGAUAAGUGCUGAAAGCAUCUAAGCACGAAACUUGCCCCGAGAUGAGUUCUCCCUGAGACUUUAGGUCUCCUGAAGGAACGUUGAAGACGACGACGUUGAUAGGCCGGGUGUGUAAGCGCAGCGAUGCGUUGAGCUAACCGGUACUAAUGAACCGUGAGGCUUAACCUU
rnacentral:rRNA from 1 species